UAUGGUGGAGGUGGAGAUUUGUAAGAAGAUGGUGACUGCUCAUAGUAUGUUGGAGGAGGUGGAGGUGACUUAUAGUACGAGGGUGAUUUCUCAUAAUAAGUUGGCGGUGGUGGAGAUUUAUAGUACACUGGGGACUUGUAAUAUUCUUUUGGUGCCGGUGACUUAUAAUAUUUAGAAGGAGCAGGUGAUUUAUAGUAUUUUGUUGCGGAUGGUGACGUGUAGU
rnacentral:lncRNA from 1 species